GCUCCAGUGGUGCAGUUGGUCAGCAUGUGGUACUUUUAAUGCCGAAGUUGUGAGUUUGAGCCUCACCUGGAGCA